AGCAAUUAGAACAUUUUGGUGAACUAUAGCUUUUGCAUAUUCCUGUGUGAGUCAGAAGAGACUUGGACAGAUAAAAUGGCUGGAUUGGGAGAGUAGGGGUGAGAGACAUCUGAAGUGCUAUGUGUUUUUCCACCAGUGUAUGAAAGAACCUUGAAGUCCCACAUUCCUAUGAAUUCAAUUGCAGUGGAGAUCACGAACUUCCUACCCUGCGCCAUGAAAUUCAAUUCACUUCUUAAGAUCCUUACUGAUUAUCUGACUGCCCACUUUGGAACUCUAUCCCUUGAGGACCAGAGACUUUGCCUACUUUGUUCACUACAUUAUCCCAGGAUCCUAGAACAGUCCUUAGAGUCUAUUCAUGCUCACUAAAUAUAUUUGAAAUAAACAUUUAUUGACUCUC